CAGGUGGAGGAGCGCGGGCGGGAGCCGACCAGGCGCUUCUUCUGCCCCAGCAAUCCUCAAAUUGAGGCGCGGCAGCCUAGAGGUCUGCCUGGGCACCCGCAGGGUGAUCCCAGCCCAGGGGCCUGAUGAAGUGAGUGCAGAUUCCUCAUUCAAGUAUGGCUUGGGUUCGAGAAACGAAGGAAAGCCGACAGAGGCGCUACCCUGACUGGUUCGCUGCCCCUUUCGUCCUUCCAGAGUAUCAAGGUUCCGCCAGGCAGGAAGACUUGGAGCUGUCACUGCGUCAACCGAGCCCGGGGCAGGGGUCGUGCCCGCGGGUCCAGGUCUCUCUGCUGCCCAGGGUGGGGCUCCUGUCCAUGCCCACCCACUCUUUGUUGUGCAAUGAAAUCAGUAUCCGUUGCACUGAGACCUACAGACGGAAACCUGCGUCUGUGCCCUUUGCGUUAAAUUGGCCGGGGCUGGAGAGCUACUCCGAGGGCUCAGGCCCCAGCAGAGACCGGAGACGUGGGGCCUAGGGUCGCAGGGUCCAUGCCACCCCAGAGGAAAAGCCCUGCGGACCCAGCCUAGAUGGUGUGCUGGGCCUUCCGCCUUCUCGUCUCAGAAGUCGACAGCCUCUCUCCUGCUGGGCUUCCUGCCCCUGGGAGAUGUCCAGGAGGCUGCCCAGUCCUGCACCCCACUCGCUGCCCCGCAUGGGCAAGUGCUCACUGGCCACUGCCCCCAGGCUCUUUCUGGCCCUAGGUUCCUGUCUGGGUAGAAAAGAAAAUACACAUGGGCUUUCCCCGGAAGUCUGGAACUGUGGAACUGCUCAGGAGCGCUCUCCACUGGACUGAGACUCACAGACCUGACCCCACCCAACAGGUGGACCACUGAGUAGGUGAGGUGAGGUCUCUCUAGGUAUGUCCUCUGCUCCACCCUUGGUGGAAAUGUGUCUCAGAUUUAAUCAACAGCAGUAUGGAGGCCACGUGGGGAUGAUCCAACUCACUUCCCACGACACAGAAAGGGAAAUGAAGGUGAUCUGCUGGGACCAGCCCCAGCAGGGGACUCAGGGGACCUGGGGCAGGAGACUGGCCCUCCUGGGAGUUCAGUUAACACAACUGAGGUGAAGAGGAGAUCAGCCAUUCCUCAGCUCUACACUGGGGUCACAGGAGUCCCGACACUGAGUCUCCUGUCUCAGGCCCCCUUUACUCCUCUUCCCUCACCACGGGACUUUGCUGUGACAUGAGUGAUUCUGAGGACUGACACAAUUCCACAUUUCUGACCCAGGCUUUCCCCUCUGCUCCGCAGAGUCAAGGGUCCCGGCACCAAUGCCCUGUCCCAGAGUGUUGCCAGGAGAGUCCACUGCUCCCCAAGAUUUCCCAGGAAUGUGAGAAUAGCUGAUUCCGAACACAGAAGAAUGGUUGUCCCCGCAAUGGGCAGCCACCGGGGAGGGCCUUGCUGGGCCAUCGGCAGGCUCCAGGCUCCUGCGCUGCAGCUGCCUGGUGGCAAGGCAUUCUUGUGUCCUCUGGUCCUUGCAGGGUAAGAUCGAAACUGGGUCGGAAGUCCCGGACCUCUCCCGGUUGGAGCCCAGGAGGGGUUUGGCUCCUACACCCCUCCCAAAGCGACCCUCCAGAAGGUACUGGAAGUCCCCCACACCUCCUCGUAGGCUGAGCUCAAUAGAAUGGGCCGAAGGGCGGAGAAGCACUAGGGCUCCGCAACCGCUGCGGGGAGCAAUCAACGGAAUUUGUUUCCCAAGAUUUUUCUUUCGAUCCCAGAAACGUUAAAAAUCCGUCAACGACUCCUCCUGUCAAGUUUGCGCUGCCUGUGCACUUGAGCCACGCAGCCCUGGUGUAGAGGGUCCCCUCCCGCCGCCCUCACCCCCGGGGCCUCCAGCCCGCGCUGGCCGCGAUGACUUCGUUCCCGCGGCGGGCGCCCUGGCCUGCAGCGCUCGCCAAGCUGCGCGCAACAGAGCGGUCCAGGCGCGGCUCAGGACCGCUGACCACGUAGACGCGGCCGCCUCCUGUGCUCCCGGUUCCAGCCGCAGGCGGGCAGAGCCCUGACGGCAACGAAAAUGGCAAGUCAGCAUGGCUUUCCGGCCGGGGCUGCCGCCGAGGCCUGGGAGCCGCUGGGGGGGGAGCCGGAGCUCGCCCUCGGCGUCCCCAGAAGCCCCUAGCUGAGCGCCGUGGCGGAGCAGCGGGUGACUGAGCUGACUACGAAUCAACCCACACGCGGAUCCGCAUCUCGUUGUCCGGAGACUCUCAGCCGAGGACCGGGUCCCACGGGGCCCGAUUUUGUCUUUGUGGGUUCCGAACCCAAAUGGCCGAGGAGGAACCGCGGUGGAGUUUUUUCCACCGCCACCUCGGUUUCCCCUUCUACGUGUGACACAGGGCCAGCGGCACCUGUUCUCCUAUCAGGGAUUAUUGUGGGGUUGGCAGCAAAGAAUGGACGAAUGGGAAAUGCUAGCUCCGCGGAGCAGGAGACCCAGCGCAGCUCCACACUUGGGUCCAUGAUUUUGGGUGCAGAACAGAGGAAGUGCCCUGCCCGGAGCCUCCUGGGCUGCUCUGGGGCACUCUCUGCCCACCCCUGUCCCGUCGCCUGCUCCCUCCUCCCUGAUCCUUCCCACUCCCCAGCAGUCUUCCUCAGCUGGAUGGAGCAGGGUGUCUCCUCCACCUUUGGGCAUGUUUUACCUGGCAAGGACUGUUUUCUCAGGUUCCCUAGGGGGUUGGGGGGGGGCAGAAAUGUCACACAAUAGGCUCGAGCUCUGAGGAGGAAGAACUGGCAACAGAGCUGGUGCCAGCUAAGCUCAUAGGAAAGAACACCCGUGCAUUACCCAUCCUGUGCAUUACCCAUCCUGUGCAUUACCCAUCCUGUGCAUUACCCAUCCUGUGCAUUACCCAUCCUGUGCAUUACCCAUCCGGCUCCCGGUGUUGGGGACUUUUCCCUUCUAGGUGCAGGUUUCUGGCAUAUCCCAGAAUGUCUGGGCUAGGUCCUGAGGCUUGACCUUGGGAGUUGGGCUGCCCUUCUGGGUGAAGGUAGAGGUGGGAGUGGGGAGAACCAGGGGAGAGGACUGGGCCUGUGCCCACGUUCCAGCCCUCAGCCCUCAACCCUCUGAGCAGAAUGUGGGAGGCGGAGGAGAAGAGCCUGGGGUGGAUGGGGGACGCCCCACUGGACUGCUCCCCCCUCUGCUUUCUACUAAACCAAUAAUCAGCCACGGCUCAGGGAGCCGGCAAGAAAAGGCCAGAGACCAGGACGGCCCCAGGCAGGGAAAAAAUGACCAGUUCUGCAGAGUGACCCCAAGGUGACGGAUUCGGGCAGAGUGUCCUCUAUGAUGGGGGCCCUGCCCCCACCAGGGCUCUUGCACCCAUGCCCCAGGACUGGAAAAAUCCAGUGGGACUCUGACCCCUCCCAGGCUUUACAACCUGAGCUCCUGGGGCUCUGUGUCCCAGAGCCCUGAGGUUGUCCCCUUCCCUCCCACCAAGAUAGGAAGUAGCUCAAUGGCAAGGGACACAGCUGCAUUCAGCGUGGUAUCCCUGAAGUCCCCACAGGUGACCUCACUGAGGCCUGCUCCGUGCUGGGGACUGGAGAUCAGGGUGGAGAUGGUACAGCCUUGAGCAGCUGUCACAGGGACACACCUCCUGUGACAUCAGUGAAUUAUAAUGGGUACCCAGGCUGGUGGUGGGCAACAGGGAGGAUAGUCAGAGCGGAGAGCCAGGCUCACACCACUGGCUGGUGGUGGGGGGGCAGGGCAGGCACUUCCCCUGGUCAGACCCAGCCUUUGCCCCACUUCUGCUGGGACCCUGGGUUGGCCCAUCCAGAGCCCCUAUUCCCUAGCAUGAGAGGACACUACCAUGGCAGGGGAUGGCU